UUUAGUGAUUUGGGGGGGUCCAGCCUGAGACUCCUUAAAGGGGUUCAUUUUCAGAAAGUUCUGAGCACCCACCUGUGUAAAUUGGGCCCCUUUAAAGUAUGUGAAGUUGGGUAUCCAAAAACAGAGGCACCCUAAACCACUAAUCAUUUGAAAAUUUGAGCCUUAACUCUUAGCCACAUAACUAAUCAGAGAGUUUAAGGCCUGAAGGGACCACCAACUCAUCUAGUCUAGUAUAUCACAGGCCACCAACACCACCUCACACCUGCAUACUAACCCCAACAAAUCAGGCUCUCUGCAACUCCAGAGGAUUCUCCAGCAGUAGGGAAUAGACAAUAAUUUUUUGCCUCCUAAAUGAGAAGUACCCUUCACAGUGGAUGACAAAAUGAAAUCUCUGUGGAGACUCCAUGAGAAUGAGAGACUCCUUCUCCAGACUGGGGAUGUGUCUGACGGAAAUUCAUUUCUGUACCCAGGCAGCUCUGAAUACUCAUCAUUGUAAUGGGUUCUACAAACCCCAUACUGAGCAUAGACUGAAGAGGGAGGAGAGUCUCUUCUGUUUACAAGCAAGCAGCUUGAUUACAACCCCACACAGUUGCCAGAGCUGCCAAUCAUGGAGGCAGGCACCCACAGCUUCAACCAAUAGAGGAAACAAGUCCAGGGGAGAGUAAAGAGAAGGAAAGGGAGGCAGAAAGACCUGGGAUUGAAAAGCGGUGACAGCCCUGCCCCAUGCUGCCUCCAAGAAAACAGCCAGUCUUGUUAAUUCAAGCUGCAUUGUGCUGAUCACUAGAGAGCAGAACGCUGUCCCAUGCUGCAAUGCAUCAUUCAAAGUUGUUUGUGAAUUUGUGUCAGUUUACCCACUCUGCUCAGGAAUCAGCACAGAGCAUAUCAUGAACCCCAGGUAAAACUGCUACUGAGGACAAAGAAACAGUGCCACAGGUAAAAAUAUUAGAAAGAUGGCAGCAGUGGAACAACAUAUAGAACAACUCCUGAUGAAAUUUCUUCAUCCAUGCUCAUGCUGUAUUCACAUUUUCAGGAAGUUGAAGUUAUAGAGAAGAAUUGCAGAAAUUUAAAGGCAGAGUUACUAAACAAACAAUAUUUGCGUGGUUCAUGUUUGCUGAUUCUGAGUGAACAGUGGAAUUUGGUGCAUCAUAACAUUUAUUUGCU